rnacentral:rRNA from 1 species
UACGUAGGGUGCAAGCGUUGUCCGGAAUUAUUGGGCGUAAAGAGCUCGUAGGCGGUCUGUCGCGUCGGCUGUGAAAACUCGGGGCUCAACCCCGAGCCUGCAGUCGAUACGGGCAGACUAGAGUCCGGCAGGGGAGACUGGAAUUCCUGGUGUAGCGGUGAAAUGCGCAGAUAUCAGGAGGAACACCGGUGGCGAAGGCGGCUCUCUGGGACGGUACUGACGCUGAGACGCGAAAGCGUGGGGAGCGAACAGG